GACGAACGCUGGCGGCGUGCUUAACACAUGCAAGUCGAACGGAAAGGCCCCUUUGGGGGUACUCGAGUGGCGAACGGGUGAGUAACACGUGAGUAACCUGCCCUUGACUUCGGGAUAACUUCAGGAAACUGGGGCUAAUACCGGAUAGGAAUCCUUGCUGCAUGGUGGGGGUUGGAAAGCUUCGGCGGUUUUGGAUGGACUUGCGGCUUAUCAGCUUGUUGGUGGGGUAGUGGCUUACCAAGGCUUUGACGGGUAGCCGGCCUGAGAGGGCGACCGGCCACAUUGGGACUGAGAUACGGCCCAGACUCCUACGGGAGGCAGCAGUGGGGAAGAUUGCACAAUGGGCGGAAGCCUGAUGCAGCAACGCCGCGGGCGGGAGGACGGCCUUCGGGUUGUAAACCGCUUUCAGCAGGGGCGAAGCUUGUGGUGACGGUACCUGCAGAAGAAGCACCGGCUAACUACGUG
rnacentral:rRNA from 1 species